ACGUCCGUUUAGGGGAGCUCCUUGGAGCUGAGAGUGCGCAAGCCGACCCUUCGAACCUGUUGUGUUAAGACACGCGUAGGGAAAACAGAAAAGACUAAG
rnacentral:ncRNA from 2 species